rnacentral:rRNA from 1 species
GACGAACGCUGGCGGCGUGCUUAACACAUGCAAGUCGAACGGAAAGGCCCUGCUUUUGUGGGGUGCUCGAGGGGCGAACGGGUGAGUAACACGUGAGUAACCUGCCCUUGACUUUGGGAUAACUUCAGGAAACUGGGGCUAAUACCGGAUAGGAGCUCCUGCUGCAUGGUGGGGGCUGGAAAGUUUCGGCGGUUGGGGAUGGACUCGCGGCUUAUCAGCUUGUUGGUGGGGUAGUGGCUUACCAAGGCUUUGACGGGUAGCCGGCCUGAGAGGGUGACCGGCCACAUUGGGACUGAGGUACGGCCCAGACUCCUACGGGAGACAGCAGUGGGGAAUAUUGCACAAUGGGCGGAAGCCUGAUGCAGCAACGCCGCGUGCGGGAUGACGGCCUUCGGGUUGUAAACCGCUUUCGCCUGUGACGAAGCGUGAGUGACGGUAAUGGGUAAAGAAGCACCGGCUAACUACGUG